rnacentral:rRNA from 1 species
GACGAACGCUGGCGGCGUGCUUAACACAUGCAAGUCGAACGGAAAGGCCCUGCUUUUGUGGGGUGCUCGAGUGGCGAACGGGUGAGUAACACGUGAGUAACCUGCCCUUGACUUUGGGAUAACUUCAGGAAACUGGGGCUCAUACCGGAUAGGAUCUCCUGCUCCAUGGUGGGGGUUGGAAAGUUUCGGCGGUUGGGGAUGGACUCGCGGCUUAUCAGCUUGUUGGUGGGGUAGUGGCUUACAAAGGCUUUGACGGGUAGCCGGCCUGAGAGGGUGAACGGCCACAAGGGGACUGAGAUACGGACCAGACGCCUACGGGAGGCAGCAGUGGGGAAUAUUGCACAAUGGGCGGAAGCCUGAUGCAGCAACGCCGCGUGCGUGAUGACGGCCCUCGGGUUGUAAACCUCUGUCGCCUGUGACGAAGCGUGAGUGACGGUAAUGAGUAAAGAAGCAACGGCUAACUACGUG